rnacentral:rRNA from 1 species
AGCGAACGCUGGCGGCAGGCCUAACACAUGCAAGUCGAACGAACUCUUCGGAGUUAGUGGCGGACGGGUGAGUAACACGUGGGAACGUGCCUUUUGGUUCGGAAUAACUCAGGGACACUUGUGCUAAUACCGAAUGUGCCCUUCUGGGGAAAGAUUUAUCGCCAUUAGAGCGGCCCGCGUCUGAUUAGCUAGUUGGUGAGGUAACGGCUCACCAAGGCGACGAUCAGUAGCUGGUCUGAGAGGAUGACCAGCCACACUGGGACUGAGACACGGCCCAGACUCCUACGGGAGGCAGCAGUGGGGAAUCUUGCGCAAUGGGCGAAAGCCUGACGCAGCCAUGCCGCGUGAAUGAUGAAGGUAUUAGGAUUGUAAAAUUCUUUCAACGGGGACGAUAAUGACGGUACCCGGAGAAGAAGCCCCGGCUAACUUCGUG